GGAUUAGGCAUGCAAGUCGAACGAGAAAGUUUCCUUCGGGGAACCGGUAAAGUGGCGAACGGGUGAGUAAUGCGUAGAUGACCUGCCCUCAUGACGGGAAUAACAACUCGAAAGGGUUGCUAAUGCCGGAUGUGGUUUCUCUUCUGCGGAAGAGGAAUCAAAGGUGGCCUCUGUUUCAAGCUGCCGCAUGAGGAGGGGUCUACGUGGUAUUAGCUAGUUGGUGGGGUAAUGGCCUACCAAGGCAAUGAUGCCUAGCCGGCCUGAGAGGGUGUCCGGCUACACUGGGACUGAGACACUGCCCAGACUCCUACGGGAGGCUGCAGUCGAGAAUCUUCCACUAAUGUGCGAAAGCAUGAUGGAGCGACGUCGCGUGGACGAUGAAGGCCUUCGGGUUGUAAAGUCCUUUCGAAGGGACCUAAUCCCUCAGGGUUAAUACCUCUUGAGGUUGAAGGGCCAUGAGAAGAAGCACCGGCUAAAUUCGUGCCAGCAGCCGCGGUAAUACGAAUGGUGCAAGCGUUGUUCGGAAUCACUGGGCAUAAAGAGCACGUAGGCGGCAACGUAAGUCAGGUGUGAAAUCCCCCGGCUCAACCGGGGAACUGCACCUGAUACUGUGUUGCUAGAGUGCGGGAGGGGAGAACGGAAUUCCUGGUGGAGCGGUGAAAUGCGUAGAUAUCAGGAGGAACGCCGGAGGCGAAAGCGGUUCUCUGGCCCGCUACUGACGCUGAGGUGCGAAAGCUAGGGGAGCAAACAGGAUUAGAUACCCUGGUAGUCCUAGCCGUAAACGAUGGGCACUAAGUAGAGGGGUUUU
rnacentral:rRNA from 1 species